rnacentral:lncRNA from 1 species
UCGAAUCUACAAUUUUGUUUCAUCCGAUUUGGUCACCGAUUUACAACGAAACUAACCCUCUCCACGUUCCACCAAUAACUACACACACACACACACACACACACACACACACACACACACACACACACACACACACACACACAUAACAUUUGAAAUUUAAAAAUUCAAAUUCGAAUUUCCAUUAUUAUUCGAAUCUCAGUUAUUACGCCGCCGCCGCCCACGGUCGGUCGUGCCGCCCUCCCUCGGCCUACGGCGACCGAUAGCCGUUGCCCCGGCGUUCCC